GAGUUUCUUGGACUCCAAGGGUGGAAGAAACCUUGGAUGAACACUUCGCAUACCUGGGUACUUGAAUUAAUGAAGGUUGAUGGUGAGUUCUAGAAGCUUGAAUCUUGAAAUAAGAAGCCCUAGGUUUUGUUCUUGAGUAACUUUGAGAAUAGUGAAUGGAUUUUGCCUCUACAGUGGCUAAAUAUCAUGUUUUGGAGGAUGAUAUAAGGUGAUAAAAGACCCAAUUACCCUUGAGAAUG
rnacentral:lncRNA from 1 species